rnacentral:misc_RNA from 1 species
GGAUGGAUCAUUACCAAAGAUUGUCUACACAGUCUUGUGAAUUGUUUUGAACCAAUAUGGAUCGGUAGGAGGGUUCUCGGACCGCACUUACUUGUCCAUAGCUUAUACACGUAUAAAACUUAAACUGACGUCUACUUUAGUGUAGUGAAAACAAAACUAAAGACAACUUUUAGCAACGGAUCUCUAGGCUCUCGCAACGAUGAAGAACGCAGCGAAAUGCGAUAAGUAAUGUGAAUUGCAUGUACCGUGAAUCAUCAAAUCUUUGAACGCACAUUGCACUGCCUGGAAUUCCGGGCAGUAUACCUGUUUGAGUAUCAGUAACACUCAAAGUGUAGAUUAUUUGUCGCUUGACGGCAGAUGUACGCUUUGGAAUUGGGCAGUCGUUUGCCUGAAAAGACACGCGCUGCUUUAAAUUGAUUAGAGGUCAUUAGCCACUUGUAGCUUGAGUUAUAAUGAAGUAACUGCCGACAGAGUUAAUGGGCGCACAUGUGCCUGUCGACUGUCAUUAGCGGUUACCUAAUACAAACUCGUUUAGGCCUCUAUAAAUGCCAAAACCAAACAGUUUUAGACUGUGAAUUUGAUCUCAAAUCAGGUAAGAUUACCCGCUGAACUUAAGCAUAUUAAUAAGCGGAGGAAAAGAAACUAACAAGGAUUCCCCUAGUAAUGGCGAAUGAAGCGGGAACAGCUCAAAUUUAAAAUCUCCUCGGAGAAUUGUAGUUUAAAGAAGUGUCUUCGCUGGCAGUCCGGGCACAAGUCCCUUGGAGCAGGGUAUCAUAGAGGGUGACAAUCCCGUCUUUGGUCCGGAUACUGCCACAAUGUGAUGCACUCUCAAAGAGUCGGGUUGUUUGGGAAUGCAGCCCAAAGCAGGUGGUAUAUUCCAUCUAAAGCUAAAUACAGGCGAGAGACCGAUAGCGAACAAGUACCGUGAGGGAAAGAUGAAAAGAACUUUGAAAAGAGAGUUAAACAGUACGUGAAAUUGCUAAAAGGGAAACGCUUGAAAUCAGUGUUGGUGUGCGCAAAUCAGCUAGUCAGAAAUGGCUGGUGCACUUUGCGUACGCCAGGUCAACAUUGGUUUUGGUUUUGGUAAAUUAGUGCGGGAAGGUGACUCCCUCGGGAGUGUUAUAGCCCGCAUGAGUGCCAGGACUGGGACUGAGGACUGCAGCGUAUGCCAUUGGCUGGCGACCCGUGCUCUAUCGUUAGUACCGACUUGGACAGCAUGCUGACCCGGCCGGUAGUGAUGAUACUAGUGCGGCUAGCACAAAUACGCUAAGGAUGUUGACGAAAUGGUUUUAAACGACCCGUCUUGAAACACGGACCAAGGAGUCUAACACAUGUGCGAGUGUUUGGGUGUCAAGCCCAUACGCGAAAUGAAAGUAAAGUAGGUGGGAUCCCUUACGGGUGCACCAUCGACCGGUCUGGAUUUUCAAUGAUAGAUCUGAGUAAGAGCACAUGUGCUGGGACCCGAAAGAUGGUGAACUAUGCCUGAAUAGGGCGAAGCCAGAGGAAACUCUGGUGGAGGCUCGUAGCGAUACUGACGUGCAAAUCGUUCGUCAAAUUUGGGUAUAGGGGCGAAAGACUAAUCGAACCAUCUAGUAGCUGGUUCCCUC